rnacentral:rRNA from 1 species
UACGUAGGGUGCGAGCGUUGUCCGGAAUUAUUGGGCGUAAAGGGCUCGUAGGCGGUUUGGUCGCGUCGGGAGUGAAAACCUUGGGCUUAACUCAGGGCUUGCUUUCGAUACGGGCAGACUAGAGGUAUGCAGGGGAGAACGGAAUUCCUGGUGUAGGCGGUGGAAAUGCGCAGAUAUCAGGAGGAACACCAAUGGCGAAGGCAGCUCUCUGGGGACGGUACUGACGCUGAGACGCGAAAGCGUGGGGAGCGAACAGG